rnacentral:rRNA from 1 species
CAGCAGCCGCGGUAAUACAGAGGGUGCGAGCGUUAAUCGGAUUUACUGGGCGUAAAGCGUGCGUAGGCGGCUUCUUAAGUCGGAUGUAAAAUCCCUGAGCUUAACUUAGGAAUUGCAUUCGAUACUGGGAAGCUAGAGUAUGGGAGAGGAUGGUAGAAUUCCAGGUGUAGCGGUGAAAUGCGUAGAGAUCUGGAGGAAUACCGAUGGCGAAGGCAGCCAUCUGGCCUAAUACUGACGCUGAGGUACGAAAGCAUGGGGAGCAAACAGGAUUAGAUACCCCAGUAGUCCCUGUCUCUUAUAC